rnacentral:rRNA from 1 species
CCCGCACAAGCGGUGGAGCAUGUGGUUUAAUUCGGUGCAACGCGAAGAACCUUACCUACCCUUGACAUGUAGUGAACUUACCAGAGAUGGUUUGGUGCCUUCGGGAACACUAACACAGGUGCUGCAUGGCUGUCGUCAGCUCGUGUCGUGAGAUGUUGGGUUAAGUCCCGUAACGAGCGCAACCCUUAUCCUUAGUUGCUAGCAGGUAAUGCUGAGAACUCUAGGGAGACUGCCAGUGAUAAACUGGAGGAAGGUGGGGACGACGUCAAGUCAUCAUGGCCCUUAUGGGUAGGGCUACAUACGUGCUACAAUGGUCGGUACAGAGGGCCGCAAACUCGCGAGAGUAAGCAAAUCCCAGAAAGCCGAUCUUAGUCCGGAUUGCAGUCUGCAACUCGACUGCAUGAAGUUGGAAUCGCUAGUAAUCGCGGAUCAGAAUGCCGCGGUGAAUACGUUCCCGGGCCUUGUACACACCGCCCGUCACACCAUGGGAGUGGGUUGCAAAAGAAGUAGGUAGUCUAACCUUCGGGAGGGCGCUUACCACUUUGUGAUUCAUGACUGGGGUGAAGUCGUAACAAGGUA